GAAGCUAGGCCCUGGCCAGCUCCUGGUAGGAUGUGAGUUUACCCCAGCCCUGGCUUCCCUAUGGACCCCAUUCCCUGUUGAGGAAGGGUCCCCGCCCUGCUCCUCAUGGUGGUGACCAGGGAGACAACAGACAUGCUUUUUGGGCGUGGAAAGGACAGGUUAGGGCAGUGGAGCGGUGGCAGUAGAUGCUAGGGGUCAAGGCUUACUGGAGGAAUCGAAGGCAGGUGCCGUGCCGUCCGCCCCGCUGUCCUGCAUGGGAAACACCUCCACAAACUCCUUCUUGAAGACCGACAACAGCACCUGCAGGAUCUCGAGCUGUGACCCCAGCCCCAGGACCUCCUACCCACCUGCCCAGCAUCUGCAGGAUCUCCAAGAUCUUCAGCUCUGACCCUAAGAUCACCCACCCUGGACCUCCCACCCACCUGCCCAGCACCUGCAGGAUCUCGAGCUGUGACCCUGUGACCCCAGCCCCAGGACCUCCUACCCACCUGCCCAGCACCUGCAGGAUCUCGAGCUGUGACUCUGUGACCCCGACCCUGGAACCUCCCACCCAGCUGACCAGCACCUGCAGUAUCCCAGGAUCUCAGCUGUGACCCUGUGACCCCCACCCCCACCCCGGGACCUCCCACCCACCUGACCAGCACCUGCAGAAUCUCCAGGAUCUUCAGUUUGGUCUCCAUCACCACAGUGUGCUCAUUGUCCUCAAAUUUGCUUCUGUCUAGCUGCUCAGGGACACCCACUCCAGCAGGCAGGCUGGAGGCACCAAAUACAGACUGCUUGCGGCUC
ensembl:antisense Itpr3os inositol 1,4,5-triphosphate receptor 3, opposite strand